GUCGAAAAACGGUAACCGUGGGUGAGGAACAGUCUUCAGGAACGCGACGAUUACCGAGUUAAUUUCCUCUUAAUUAUAUCCGGAAGACUGACCCACAUCCAGGAGGUUCACGCUUAUGGAAAGGCAGGGCGUACAGUGGAUCGAUCACGGAUGUAGGAAUAUCAGGAUAAAUGCGGGGUGUGUACCAGAGACGCAGGAUGAAGCGAUACGGCAAACGGAAGGAUAAUGACGCCUCCUCAUUGCUCGCACAUGUUCAUUUCGCUCGCGAAUGAUACGGGUAAGGGCAACGGUGAAUCGCCGAAUAAUAAAUGAUUCCUACUGCGCGCCGCCAUGUCGAGAAAUAGGCUGGCAACAGCCGAGAGGGUAGCCAGCUGCGACUCAUCAAUUCCAAUCAAAAGGUAGCCCACUAUGAAGUUGACAGUUGGAUUUCCAACUUGUAAGUUUUUUACAGUGAGCCUCGCGCGCGAGGAGAACGCGUGGUUGUCGCAAGGAGGUCCGGUGCCGAUCUUUCAUUCCCCGCUUCAGCAACUAGGGUAAGGUAAUACAAUUUCGAAUCCCUAACCAAACAUUUAAACUCUAAUAUAAUUAGAAAGUUUGCAAUCUAAAAUUAGUUAUUAUAAUGAUUUUUUUUAAAAGUGAUCCGGUUAAUGUGAUCAAAGUCGAUAAUUUAUCUUAUUCCAAAAAAGUGUCGAAAAUGUGCGCAAUUCUGAACGUAACUCGGUGCACAUUUAUAAUUGAUUGUGGCAGGGAAAUUUGUGAUGGCACGUAGGUAUAAUAUAUAAAUUGCAUGAAACGUAAUUUAAAGUAGGAUUGUUUGCUCCAUGUAACGCUUUGAGUCAACUGUCCACAGAAAUAGAAAAAAAUAGAAAGAAAGAGAGAGAGAGAGGGAGAGAGAGAGAGAGAGAGAGAAUACGUAAUACGUAAUUUCAAAGUUGUACGAUCGUGGCUUAGAUACGCCCUGGGAAUCGAUGAAAACGAUUGAUACGUCGUUAAAAGCUCAUUAGAAUUUUUGUGCGGGCCGAUGAUCCUUGAAACCGGAAACUCCGAGGCACUCUCACGUGCACUCGUCGAGACUAAGUCGCAGGUGCUUGUUCCUAAGCGGCCCAAAGGGCUUUCCAAAGCACGUGCGCGAUGAGAAAGUUUCCUCUAUACCGGGAGUCUUAUCUCAUUUCCAUGACGCUCUUAUAAGACGUUACUAAACUCGCGAAGGAGUAAAAAGGGGGCUGAACCACCUGUAAGACGAACGGAUGCGGGAGGAAGAAUCGUAACGUAUUUCACGUGCAACAUUAAGCCUCAGGUGACACACGUUACGCAUGGACAGUUCGGUGUAUCCUGAUGAUUAAUACUCGGUUACUCCUCAUUGCAUGCACGGAGGAAAAACAGCACGUGCUUGAAACGGUGACGUAACAGCGUAAUAACGUGCUCGAUGCAGAUCGCGUCCGAUGAAAAGUAUACCGCACGGAAAGAGAUGUUGGAAAUUAAGUGAUUCGGCAAAAAAAAAAAACAACUUGCCGCACGAGUUCAAUAUCUAUAACUAAAAAAAGCUGAUAGCUCAACAAAGAAAUUAUGCCUCGAAAUAUAUCUGAAAGCGAUUAUCUGCGUGCUCGUUGAACAAAUUCUCUACACUGAAGAUUGCUAACGUAACGAGUCUUUUUCACAAUAGCAGAAACUAAAGUAUACGUCAUUUUCGCUGCUACGUUUUGCUAAAAUUUUAAUCCGUAUAUUGGACUGAUUUUCAAAAAAUUGUCCUGCUGUAUUAAUUAAAUUUAUUGUGCUAUCCUCUAACAAAUAUUAUUAACUAUUACUGUUAAUCGUAAUUUAAUCGUAAAACCUAACUACUUUAACAUACUUUAACUACUUUAACAUAGAAAACUGGCUGCUCGUAUGUUACGGCUAUAGAUCCGCUAAAUUAGUGAAGUUCUUAAUUGUUUUAACAAAUCUUCUUUUUCCGGGUAAUAAUUCACAAUUUUGUACUUUUCGAUUAAAAGGGCAAGACAAUUUGUGUCAUAUUUGCAAUCUUAGUAGAGAAGUUAAUUUUUUUUUUUUAAAUUACGACUAUGUCCGAGCUUUUAUUUGUCAUGCGCCAUAUCAAGCAAAAUAAGUAGUUGGCUUAAUUCCGUGGCCAUUUCGACCAACGCCACGAUCGUCGAGAGAGAAUAAAUUAUUGAAGCCGGAGGAAGGAAGGAAAACGGCGACGGUUGAGAACAGGAAACGACGCCGACUACUAUCGGCGCCAUCGUCCGCCCCAUUGGACAGCCUGCAUACGUACCGGAAUACGCUGGUACUCCGCACAAGUGACGCAGUACAAAGCGGCGAGUAUCGAAGAGUAUUCAACGACAACGAUCUAUUUAAUUACAUGUGAGGCUCCGCAGGUGUACCCUUCGUGGGGCUACUCCCCCUUUCUCGGCUCUCGCGCUGCCUCCUUGCUUUUUUUUUUCCUCGUUUUAAUUCGCCGCCUUGCGUAUCACAUUCGUACGGUCGAUCGUGCGUGAGAAAUGUUCCUGGAAACGAUAUCGAGACGGAAAAGAAAUGUCGCCGGGCUGCCCGCAUUAAGGACUUGCCGCUAAUUCACCACGGGAAACAAUAAUCGAGCAUCACACGGCUCGAUGUUCCCGAGGAAGAAGGCACACGUUCGACCGUGUGAAAGUUUGAUCUUCUCGCGCCUCUUUGCGAUGCUAUCGGUAAACCUUUCCCCCAAAAUCGAAUUAAUAAUAUUAAUAUAUUACACUAGCUUACUUAUUAAAAACUUAUAAUAAACAGCUGUUAAAAAAUUA
rnacentral:lncRNA from 1 species